rnacentral:rRNA from 3 species
GAUGAACGCUGGCGGCGUGCCUAAUACAUGCAAGUCGAACGAGUUCUCGUUGAUGAUCGGUGCUUGCACCGAGAUUCAACAUGGAACGAGUGGCGGACGGGUGAGUAACACGUGGGUAACCUGCCCUUAAGUGGGGGAUAACAUUUGGAAACAGAUGCUAAUACCGCAUAGAUCCAAGAACCGCAUGGUUCUUGGCUGAAAGAUGGCGUAAGCUAUCGCUUUUGGAUGGACCCGCGGCGUAUUAGCUAGUUGGUGAGGUAAUGGCUCACCAAGGCGAUGAUACGUAGCCGAACUGAGAGGUUGAUCGGCCACAUUGGGACUGAGACACGGCCCAAACUCCUACGGGAGGCAGCAGUAGGGAAUCUUCCACAAUGGACGCAAGUCUGAUGGAGCAACGCCGCGUGAGUGAAGAAGGCUUUCGGGUCGUAAAACUCUGUUGUUGGAGAAGAAUGGUCGGCAGAGUAACUGUUGUCGGCGUGACGGUAUCCAACCAGAAAGCCACGGCUAACUACGUGCCAGCAGCCGCGGUAAUACGUAGGUGGCAAGCGUUAUCCGGAUUUAUUGGGCGUAAAGCGAGCGCAGGCGGUUUUUUAAGUCUGAUGUGAAAGCCCUCGGCUUAACCGAGGAAGCGCAUCGGAAACUGGGAAACUUGAGUGCAGAAGAGGACAGUGGAACUCCAUGUGUAGCGGUGAAAUGCGUAGAUAUAUGGAAGAACACCAGUGGCGAAGGCGGCUGUCUGGUCUGUAACUGACGCUGAGGCUCGAAAGCAUGGGUAGCGAACAGGAUUAGAUACCCUGGUAGUCCAUGCCGUAAACGAUGAAUGCUAGGUGUUGGAGGGUUUCCGCCCUUCAGUGCCGCAGCUAACGCAUUAAGCAUUCCGCCUGGGGAGUACGACCGCAAGGUUGAAACUCAAAGGAAUUGACGGGGGCCCGCACAAGCGGUGGAGCAUGUGGUUUAAUUCGAAGCAACGCGAAGAACCUUACCAGGUCUUGACAUCUUUUGAUCACCUGAGAGAUCAGGCUUCCCCUUCGGGGGCAAAAUGACAGGUGGUGCAUGGUUGUCGUCAGCUCGUGUCGUGAGAUGUUGGGUUAAGUCCCGCAACGAGCGCAACCCUUAUGACUAGUUGCCAGCAUUUAGUUGGGCACUCUAGUAAGACUGCCGGUGACAAACCGGAGGAAGGUGGGGAUGACGUCAAAUCAUCAUGCCCCUUAUGACCUGGGCUACACACGUGCUACAAUGGAUGGUACAACGAGUUGCGAGACCGCGAGGUCAAGCUAAUCUCUUAAAGCCAUUCUCAGUUCGGACUGUAGGCUGCAACUCGCCUACACGAAGUCGGAAUCGCUAGUAAUCGCGGAUCAGCACGCCGCGGUGAAUACGUUCCCGGGCCUUGUACACACCGCCCGUCACACCAUGAGAGUUUGUAACACCCGAAGCCGGUGGCGUAACCCUUUUAGGGAGCGAGCCGUCUAAGGUGGGACAAAUGAUUAGGGUG